UACAGAGGUCUCAAGCGUUGUUCGGAUUCAUUGGGCGUAAAGGGUGCGUAGGCGGCGCGGUAAGUCGGGUGUGAAAUCUUGGAGCUUAACUCCGAAACUGCAUUCGAUACUGCCGUGCUUGAGGACUGGAGAGGAGACUGGAAUUUACGGUGUAGCAGUGAAAUGCGUAGAUAUCGUAAGGAAGACCAGUGGCGAAGGCGAGUUCCUGGACAGUUACUGACACUGAGGCACGAAGGCCAGGGGAG
rnacentral:rRNA from 1 species